rnacentral:rRNA from 1 species
UACGGAGGGGGCUAGCGUUGUUCGGAAUUACUGGGCGUAAAGCGCACGUAGGCGGCUUUGUAAGUUAGAGGUGAAAGCCCCGGGCUUAACCCUGGAAUUGCCUUUAAGACUGCAUCGCUAGAAUCGUGGAGAGGUAAGUGGAAUUCCGAGUGUAGAGGUGAAAUUCGUAGAUAUUCGGAAGAACACCAGUGGCGAAGGCGACUUACUGGACACGUAUUGACGCUGAGGUGCGAAAGCGUGGGGAGCAAACAGG